GAGGCAGAUGUGAGAGUGAGUGUGAGUGAGGAUGGGAGUAAAGGUGAGGGUGAGUGGGAGGUGAGAAUGAGAUUAAAGGUGAGGUUGAGGGCGAAGUGAAAUUAAGAGAGUGAAUAUAAAUGAAAGCAAAAGUGUGAAUAUAGCUUAGAGAGAUUUUGAGAUCAUUUGAUCAGUACAACGCUAGAAAGUUUUGAAGAUUUGACCAAAACUGGUGAAGACUUUGCAACUGCGAAUUAUUUUAUCUAAAUUAAAAGAUACUAUAAAUGAAGAUGUGAUGAUGUAAAAAAGUUAUAAGAGUGAGAGCGUGAAUGAUAAUAAGGGUUAAAAUGAGAGUGAGGGUGAACGUGGAAGCGAGUAUGAAGAUGAGAAUAAGAUUAAGAAAAUGAAUAUAAGUAAGAGUGAGAGGAUGGAUGUAGGUGAAAGAUAUUUUGAAUUUAUUUAAUCAAUAAUGUGAUGAAUUAUUUUUUUCAAUUUUAGUCGGCAGAUAUUAUAAAUAAAAUAAUAUAUAUGAUAAUUCAGAAACUAAUAAUAUAUAAUAUGCAAUUGUUAUUGGCUUAU
rnacentral:lncRNA from 1 species